GGCGCCGUGCCCAAGUGGUUUAAGGGGGCGGAUUGCAAAUCCGUUAUUCGCCGGUUCGAAUCCGGCCGGCGCCU
rnacentral:tRNA from 1 species